AUGAACGCUGGCGGCGUGCCUAAUACAUGCAAGUCGAGCGAACAGACGAGGAGCUUGCUCCUCUGACGUUAGCGGCGGACGGGUGAGUAACCCGUGGAUAACCUACCUAUAAGACUGGGAUAACUUCGGGAAACCGGAGCUAAUACCGGAUAAUAUAUUGAACCGCAUGGUUCAAUAGUGAAAGACGGUUUUGCUGUCACUUAUAGAUGGAUCCGCGCCGCAUUAGCUAGUUGGUAAGGUAACGGCUUACCAAGGCAACGAUGCGUAGCCGACCUGAGAGGGUGAUCGGCCACACUGGAACUGGGACACGGUCCAGACUCCUACGGGAGGCAGCAGUAGGGAAUCUUCCGCAAAGGGCGAAAGCCUGACGGAGCAACGCCGCGUGAGUGAUGAAGGUCUUCGGAUCGUAAAACUCUGUUAUUAGGGAAGAACAAAUGUGUAAGUAACUAUGCACGUCUUGACGGUACCUAAUCAGAAAGCCACGGCUAACUACGUG
rnacentral:rRNA from 1 species